AUUGAACGCUGGCGGCAUGCCUUACACAUGCGAGUCGAACGGUAACAGGCCGCAAGGUGCUGACGAGUGGCGAACGGGUGAGUAAUACAUCGGAACGUGCCCGAUCGUGGGGGAUAACGCAGCGAAAGCUGUGCUAAUACCGCAUACGAUCUACGGAUGAAAGCGGGGGAUCGCAAGACCUCGCGCGGACGGAGCGGCCGAUGGCAGAUUAGGUAGUUGGUGGGGUAAAGGCCUACCAAGCCGACGAUCUGUAGCUGGUCUGAGAGGACGACCAGCCACACUUGGACUGAGACACGGCCCAGACUCCUACGGGAGGCAGCAGUGGGGAAUGUUGGACAAUGGGCGCAAGCCUGAUCCAGCCAUGACGCGUGCAGGAUGAAGGCCUUCGGGUUGUAAACUGCUUUUGUACGGAACGAAAAGGUUUCUUUUAAUACAGGGAACUGAUGACGGUACCGUAAGAAUAAGCACCGGCUAACUACGUGCCAGCCGCCGCGGUAAAAC
rnacentral:rRNA from 1 species